rnacentral:tRNA from 1 species
GGGGUCAUAGCCCAAUGGUAGAGUACUUGCCUAGCAGGAGCAAGGCCCUGGGUUCAACCCCCAGCACCCCCA